rnacentral:rRNA from 1 species
AGUGAACGCUGGCGGUAGGCCUAACACAUGCAAGUCGAACGGCAGCACAGUAAGAGCUUGCUCUUACGGGUGGCGAGUGGCGGACGGGUGAGGAAUACAUCGGAAUCUACUUUUUCGUGGGGGAUAACGUAGGGAAACUUACGCUAAUACCGCAUACGACCUACGGGUGAAAGCAGGGGAUCUUCGGACCUUGCGCGAUUGAAUGAGCCGAUGUCGGAUUAGCUAGUUGGCGGGGUAAAGGCCCACCAAGGCGACGAUCCGUAGCUGGUCUGAGAGGAUGAUCAGCCACACUGGAACUGAGACACGGUCCAGACUCCUACGGGAGGCAGCAGUGGGGAAUAUUGGACAAUGGGAGCAAGCAUGAUCCAGCAAUACCGCGUGGGUGAAGAAGGCCUUCGGGUUGUAAAGCCCUUUUGUUGGGAAAGAAAAGCAGCAGGUUAAUACCCCGCUGUUCUGACGGUACCCAAAGAAUAAGCACCGGCUAACUUCGUG